rnacentral:rRNA from 1 species
UACGUAGGUGGCAAGCGUUGUCCGGAUUUAUUGGGCGUAAAGAGAACGCAGGCGGUCUUUUAAGUCUGAUGUGAAAGCCUUCGGCUUAACCGGAGUAGUGCAUUGGAAACUGGGAGACUUGAGUGCAGAAGAGGAGAGUGGAACUCCAUGUGUAGCGGUGAAAUGCGUAGAUAUAUGGAAGAACACCAGUGGCGAAAGCGGCUCUCUGGUCUGUAACUGACGCUGAGGUUCGAAAGCGUGGGUAGCAAACAGG